GUGGCUUUGUGGCUCAGUGGUAGAGCGCUUGCCUUGCAUGUGUGAAGCACUGGGUUUGAUCCUCAGCACCACA
rnacentral:tRNA from 1 species